ACUUUCAAAGGAUAACAGCUUAAUCCACUGGUUUUAGGAACCACAACCUCUUGGUGCAAUUCCAAGUGAAAGUA
ensembl:Mt_tRNA